UACGAAGGGGGCUAGCGUUGCUCGGAAUGACUGGGCGUAAAGGGCGCGUAGGCGGUUUGGACAGUCAGAUGUGAAAUUCCUGGGCUCAACCUGGGGGCUGCAUUUGAUACGUUCGGACUAGAGUGGGGAAGAGGGUCGUGGAAUUCCCAGUGUAGAGGUGAAAUUCGUAGAUAUUGGGAAGAACACCGGUGGCGAAGGCGGCGACCUGGUCCUUGACUGACGCUGAGGAGCGAAAGCGUGGGGAGCAAACAGG
rnacentral:rRNA from 1 species